rnacentral:tRNA from 1 species
CAAAAUGUAGCUUAACCUAAAGCAUCUCGCUUACACCGAGAACAUGUCUGUUAAACCCAGAUCAUUUUGA